CGGCGGACGGGUGAGUAACACGUGGGUAACCUACCUAUAAGACUGGGACAACUUCGGGAAACCGGAGCUAAUACCGGAUAAGAUAUCGAACCGCAUGGUUCGAUAGUGAAAGAUGGUUUUGCUAUCACUUAUAGAUGGACCCGCGCCGUAUUAGCUAGUUGGUGAGGUAACGGCUCACCAAGGCAACGAUACGUAGCCGACCUGAGAGGGUGAUCGGCCACACUGGAACUGAGACACGGUCCAGACUCCUACCGGGAGGCAGCAGCG
rnacentral:rRNA from 1 species